AAGCGUAAAGAAUGGAGAAUUGCACUAAGCAAUCACUACGCGUGGCUCCAAACUCGUGGGUGGAGGAUGCAUGAACGAAAACGCAAUUCAUGGGGCUCCGAAUAAAAGGCGAGGAUGGAGGAUUUCACUAGAGGGUCCUCACUAGUCAAUCACUACGCAUGGCUCCAAACUCUUUGUUGGAGGAUGCAUGAACGAAAGUGCAAUUCAUAGGGCUCCGAAAAAGGGUAGAGAAUGGAGAAUUGCACUAAGCAAUCACUACGCAUGGCUCCAAACUCGUGGAUGGAGGAUGCAUCAACGAAAUCGCAAUUCAUGGGGCUCCGAA
rnacentral:lncRNA from 1 species